GGGGCCAUAGCUCAGCUGGGAGAGCGCAUGACUGGCAGUCAUGAGGUCAGGGGUUCGAUCCCCCUUGGCUCCACCA
rnacentral:tRNA from 4 species